rnacentral:lncRNA from 1 species
GACAAUUAAGGAUUUAAGCAGUGGCGGCGCCAGGCUUCCAAAUUUGGGGGGGCAUUUGAGGGGCAAACUCAAAUUUUGGGGGGGCAAGAUCGAAUUUUUAAAAAGGUCGCCCCCCCCCCCAGCAAAUUCGCCCCCCCCCUCAAAACGUGGCGAUAUUCCUAGGAAUAUCGCCCCCGGGGGCGAAUAUCCUAGGAAUAUCGCCUCCCAGGGGGGUGGGGCGA